AACGAACGCUGGCGGCAGGCCUAACACAUGCAAGUCGAACGCACCGCAAGGUGAGUGGCGCACGGGUGAGUAACACGUGGGAAUGUACCCUUUGGUUCGGAAUAACGUCUGGAAACGGACGCUAAUACCGGAUGAGCCCUGCGGGGGAAAGAUUUAUCGCCAAAGGAGCAGCCCGCGUCUGAUUAGCUAGUUGGUGGGGUAAAGGCCUACCAAGGCGACGAUCAGUAGCUGGUCUGAGAGGUUGAUCAGCCACACUGGGACUGAGACACGGCCCAGACUCCUACGGGAGGCAGCAGUGGGGAAUAUUGGACAAUGGGCGGAAGCCUGAUCCAGCCGUGCCGCGUGAGUAAUGAAGGCCUUCGGGUUGUAAAGCUCUUUCGCACGCGACGAUGAUGACGGUAGCGUGAGAAGGAGCCCCGGCUAACUUCGUGCCAGCCGCCGCAGUAACAC
rnacentral:rRNA from 1 species